AUUGAACGCUGGCGGCAGGCUUAACACAUGCAAGUCGAGCGGAGUGAUGGUGCUUGCACUAUCACUUAGCGGCGGACGGGUGAGUAAUGCUUAGGAAUCUGCCUAUUAGUGGGGGACGACAUCUCGAAAGGGAUGCUAAUACCGCAUACGUCCUACGGGAGAAAGCAGGGGAUCACUUGUGACCUUGCGCUAAUAGAUGAGCAUAAGUCGGAUUAGCUAGUUGGUGGGGUAAAGGCCUACCAAGGCGACGAUCUGUAGCGGGUCUGAGAGGAUGAUCCGCCACACUGGGACUGAGACACGGCCCAGACUCCUACGGGAGGCAGCAGUGGGGAAUAUUGGACAAUGGGGGAACCCUGAUCCAGCCAUGCCGCGUGUGUGAAGAAGGCCUUAUGGUUGUAAAGCACUUUAAGCGAGGAGGAGGCUCUUUUGGUUAAUACCCAGAAUGAGUGGACGUUACUCGCAGAAUAAGCACCGGCUAACCCUGUGCCAGCCGCCGCCGUAACAC
rnacentral:rRNA from 1 species